rnacentral:rRNA from 1 species
AGCGAACGCUGGCGGCAGGCCUAACACAUGCAAGUCGAACGGAUCCUUCGGGAUUAGUGGCGGACGGGUGAGUAACACGUGGGAACGUGCCCUUUGGUUCGGAACAACUCAGGGAAACUUGAGCUAAUACCGGAUGUGCCCUUCGGGGGAAAGAUUUGUCGCCAUUGGAGCGGCCCGCGUCUGAUUAGCUAGUUGGUGAGGUAACGGCCCACCAAGGCGACGAUCAGUAGCUGGUCUGAGAGGAUGAUCAGCCACACUGGGACUGAGACACGGCCCAGACUCCUACGGGAGGCAGCAGUGGGGAAUCUUGCGCAAUGGGCGAAAGCCUGACGCAGCCAUGCCGCGUGAAUGAUGAAGGUCUUAGGAUUGUAAAAUUCUUUCAGCGGGGACGAUAAUGACGGUACCCGCAGAAGAAGCUCCGGCUAACUUCGUG